UUUUAAAUUUGUUUUACAUAUAAAUUUUAGUGUUAAUAUUAAUUUAUUUAAAAAAUAAAUUUUAAUUAUAAUUUGUUAGUAAUUAAUAUUAAAAUAUUUAAGAAAUUAAUAUUUAGUAAUAUUAAAAUUAAUAACUAAUUUUGUGCCAGCAGUUGCGGUUAAACAAAGAUUAAAUUAAAUUUUAUUAGUAAUUAGUAAAUAAAAUUAAAAGUUAUAAUUUAAAAUUUAGAUUAUUAGGUGAAAUUUUAAUUUAAUAAAAAAUUAUUUUAAUUUUAUGAUUUAAUAAAUUUUUAAAAAAACUAGGAUUAGAUACCCUAUUAUUAAAAUUUUAAAUUAAAAUACUAAAAUAGUAAUUAAUUAUUUAUUGAAACUUAAGUAAUUUGGCGGUAUUUUAGUUCAUUUAGAGGAAUCUGUUUAAUAAUUGAUAAUCCACGAAUAAAUUUACUUAAUUUAUAAUUUUGUAUAUCGUUGUUAAAAAAAUAUUUUUUAAUAAUAAUAAUAUUUAAAAAUUUUUAAAUAAAUUAAAUCAGAUCAAGAUGCAGAUAAUAAUUAAGAAUAUAAUGGAUUACAAUAGAAUUAUUUAAGUGAAUAUUAAUUUGAAAUAAUUAAUUGAAAUUGGAUUUAAAUGUAAUUUUAUUUAGUUUAAUAAAAUGAUUUAAAAUUGAAAUAUGUACAUAUUGCCCGUCGCUUUCAUAUAUUUAUAUAAAAUUAAUUAUUUAAUUAUAUAUUAUUAAAUUGAAAUAAGUCGUAACAAAGUAGAGGUACUGGAAAGUGUUUCUAGAAAGAA
rnacentral:rRNA from 1 species